CGGGUGAUUUAUACGUCGGAACGUACCCUGUUGUGGGGGAUNCUAGUCGAAAGAUUAACUAAUACCGCCUACCACCUGAGGGUGAAAGCGGGGGACCGCAAGGCCUCGCGCAGCACGAGCGGCCGAUGUCUGAUUAUCUAUCUGGUGGGGUAAAGGCCCACCCUCGCGACGAUCCAUAGCUGGACUGAGAGGACCAUCCCCCUCACGGGGACUGAGACUCGGCCCAAACUCCUACUGGAGGCAGCAUGGGGGAAUUUUGGACUAUGGGGGGAACCCUGAUCCAACAAUGCCACAUGGGUGAAGAACGCCUUCGGGUUGUACAGCACUUUUGUCCAGAAAGAAAUACACUCUGGUUAAUACCUGGGGUGGAUGACGGUACCGGAAGAAUAAUCACCGGCUAACUACGUGCCAGCAGCCGCGGUAAUACGUAGGGUGCGAGCGUUAAUCGGAAUUACUGGGCGUAAUGCGUGCGCAGGCGGGUUUGUANACAGGCGUGAAAUCCCCGAGCUCAACUUGGGAAUUGCGCUUGUGACUGCAAGGCUAGAGUAUGUCAUACGGGGGUAGAAUUCCACGUGUACCACUGAAAUGCGUAGAGAUGUGGAGGAAUACCUAUGGCGAAAGCAGCCCCCUGGGACUUCACUGACUCUCAUGCACGAAAGCGUGUGGAGCAACAGGAUUAGAUACCCUGGUAGUCCACGCCCUACACNAUGUCAACUAUUUGUUGGGGAUUCAUUNCUUCACCACGUAUCUAACACUCGAACUGACCGUCUGGAGAGUACUUCCCAAGAUAACUCUCGAUGAAUGACGUNACCGCACAGCUGGCGAUGAUGUGNAUCAUUCAUGCAAUAAAANCCUACUACCAUUACUGCAUGNGGACUAAUAACUCANUNUNANCGGAAC
rnacentral:rRNA from 1 species